rnacentral:rRNA from 1 species
GCAGCGAAAGCUGUGCUAAUACCGCAUACGAUCUAAGGAUGAAAGCGGGGGACCUUCGGGCCUCGCGCGAUUGGAGCGGCCGAUGUUAGAUUAGGUAGUUGGUGGGGUAAAGGCUCACCAAGCCGACGAUCUAUAGCUGGUCUGAGAGGACGACCAGCCACACUGGAACUGAGACACGGUCCAGACUCCUACGGGAGGCAGCAGUGGGGAAUUUUGGACAAUGGGCGAAAGCCUGAUCCAGCAAUACCGCGUGCAGGAAGAAGGCCCUCGGGUUGUAAACUGCUUUUGUACGGAACGAAACGGUGCGCUCUAAUAAAGUGCGCUAAUGACGGUACCGUAAGAAUAAGCACCGGCUAACUACGUGCCAGCAGCCGCGGUAAUACGUAGGGUGCAAGCGUUAAUCGGAAUUACUGGGCGUAAAGCGUGCGCAGGCGGUUUUGUAAGACAGGCGUGAAAUCCCCGGGCUUAACCUGGGAAUUGCGCUUGUGACUGCAAGGCUAGAGUACGGUAGAGGGGGGUAGAAUUCCGCGUGUAGCAGUGAAAUGCGUAGAUAUGCGGAGGAACACCGAUGGCGAAGGCAGCCCCCUGGACCUGUACUGACGCUCAUGCACGAAAGCGUGGGGAGCAAACAGGAUUAGAUACCCUGGUAGUCCACGCCCUAAACGAUGUCAACUGGUUGUUGGGAAUUUACUUUCUCAGUAACGAAGCUAACGCGUGAAGUUGACCGCCUGGGGAGUACGGCCGCAAGGUUGAAACUCAAAGGAAAUUGACGGGGACCCGCACAAGCGGUGGAUGAUGUGGUUUAAUUCGAUGCAACGCGAAAAACCUUACCUACCCUUGACAUGUACGGAACUUGCCAGAGAUGGCUUGGUGCUCGAAAGAGAGCCGUAACACAGGUGCUGCAUGGCUGUCGUCAGCUCGUGUCGUGAGAUGUUGGGUUAAGUCCCGCAACGAGCGCAACCCUUGUCAUUAGUUGCUACAUUUAGUUGGGCACUCUAAUGAGACUGCCGGUGACAAACCGGAGGAAGGUGGGGAUGACGUCAAGUCCUCAUGGCCCUUAUGGGUAGGGCUACACACGUCAUACAAUGGCUGGUACAAAGGGUUGCCAACCCGCGAGGGGGAGCUAAUCCCAUAAAGCCAGUCGUAGUCCGGAUCGUAGUCUGCAACUCGACUGCGUGAAGUCGGAAUCGCUAGUAAUCGUGGAUCAGAAUGUCACGGUGAAUAC